rnacentral:rRNA from 1 species
UACGGAGGGUGCAAGCGUUAAUCGGAAUUACUGGGCGUAAGCGUGCGUAGGCGGUUCGUUAAGUCUGUUGUGAAAGCCCCGGGCUCAACCUGGGAAUGGCAAUGGAUACUGGCGAGCUAGAGUGUGUCAGAGGAUGGUGGAAUUCCCGGUGUAGCGGUGAAAUGCGUAGAGAUCGGGAGGAACAUCAGUGGCGAAGGCGGCCAUCUGGGACAACACUGACGCUGAGGCACGAAAGCGUGGGAGCAAACAGG